rnacentral:rRNA from 1 species
ACGGAAGGCAGCAGUGGGGAAUAUUGGGCAAUGGGCGCAAGCCUGACCCAGCAACGCCGCGUGAGGGAAGAAGGCUUUCGGGUUGUAAACCUCUGUCCUUGGUGACGAAGAAGUGACGGUAGCCAAGGAGGAAGCCCCGGCUAACUACGUGCCAGCAGCCGCGGUAAUACGUAGGGGGCGAGCGUUGUCCGGAAUUACUGGGCGUAAAGGGUGCGUAGGCGGUUGAUUAAGUAGGAUGUGAAAUACCCGGGCUUAACUUGGGGGGUGCAUCCAAUACUGGUUGACUAGAGUGCAGGAGAGGAAAGCGGAAUUCCUAGUGUAGCGGUGAAAUGCGUAGAUAUUAGGAGGAACACCAGUGGCGAAGGCGGCUUUCUGGACGAUAACUGACGUUGAGGCUCGAAAGCGUGGGGAGCAAACAGGAUUCGAUACCCUGGUA